CCCGAAAGUAUCUCUUCCACUGUGCGCACGCACACACACACACACUGCACAUCUUCAGCCAAAGCCGAGCAGGAAAGAUCAGAUGCCAGGGGAGGGACUGCUGGCGGUGGGUAUAAGAAGCAGCAGGACUGGGAGCAGCCUGUAGUGACUGGGUGGCAGCGGGACGUGCUGGGAGGGGAAGAGGAGAGCAUCUGUCUGUCCAUCCACCUACCAGGCUCUGGAGAGAGAGGAGCCCACAGCACUACUCUGCUCUCACUCUCUUUGCACCUUCUCUUGCUGCUGCCCAAGAAAACCUGCAGAUCCCUGCCUGUGUGGCUGCUGACCUAAAAUGGCAGAAGGAGCAAAGGUGUUCAAGAAGACCAGCCCCAACAGCAAGCUAUCCAUCUACCUGGGGAAGAGAGACUUUGUGGAUCACGUGGAGUCAGUGGACCCCGUGGAUGGCGUCUGCCUGAUUGACCCGGAGUACCUAAAGGACAGAAAAGUGUACGUGUCGCUGACUUGUGCAUUUCGCUAUGGCCGAGAUGACCUCGACGUUAUCGGAUUGACCUUCAGGAAGGACCUCUAUGUCCUGACCACCCAGAUCUUCCCGCCGGUGCCAGACCAGGCACCCAAAACCCUCACUUCUUUGCAGGAGAAGCUGCUGAAGAAGCUAGGGGAGAAUGCUUACCCCUUCACCUUUGAGAUGGCCACCAACCUGCCCUGCUCAGUCACCCUCCAGCCAGGACCAGACGAUGUGGGAAAGGCCUGCGGUGUGGACUUUGAGGUCAAAGGAUUUUGUGCUGAAAAUCUGGAGGAGAAAAUUCACAAGAGGAACUCAGUGCGCCUCGUCAUCCGCAAGAUCCAGUUUGCACCCCUGAAGAUGGGGCCACCCCCGAAGUCGGAGACAACCCGGCAGUUCAUGAUGUCUGACAAGCCCCUGCACCUCGAAGCCUCCCUGGAUAAAGAGAUCUACUACCACGGAGACCCCAUCAACGUAACCGUCAACAUCAACAACACCACCAACAAGAUUGUGAAAAAAAUUAAGAUCUCAGUUAAUCAGAUCACAGAUGUGGUCCUCUAUUCGCUGGAUAAAUACAUGAAGACUGUGUGCACCGAGGAGAUAAACGAGAACGUGGCAGCCAACUCUACCUUCUCCAAAACAUACUCCGUCACCCCCACGCUCCUGGCCAACCGUGAGAAGCGAGGCCUCGCUCUCGAUGGCAAGCUCAAGCACGAGGACACCAACCUGGCCUCCAGCACCGUCCUGAGACCCGGCAUGGACAAGGACGUGCUGGGCAUCCUGGUGUCCUACAAAGUGAAGGUCAACCUGGUGGUGUCCCGAGGAGGCAUCCUGGGGGAUCUCACUUCCAGCGACGUUGGUGUUGAGCUGCCUGUUAUCCUGAUGCACCCGAAGCCUGUGGACGAUAAGCCAAGGCUGAACAGCCCCAACUCCAUAGCGGCAGAGGCAGCAGGAGUGUUGUCACAGGCUGGGAGGAUUCAAAUUCUGGGCUCGGCACAUGUUCUGCAACUUUCCAGGGCGUAUUUUACAGCUCCCCUUGCUGCAAAGGCAGCAGCCUCUCCUGUUGCAAGCCCAGACCUCGCCUUGUCCCUUGCAAGCAGCCGGCAGUGCUCCAUCUCACAGUCACAAGUGCCACUGCUGGACAUAACGUCCCCUACAGCCUUGGUCCCCAUCCGCCCCACGCUGAGGUCCCUUGACUGCUGGGAGCAGCACUGGUCACAGCCCCAUGCCCCCGCACGCUCCCCAGUGCCAGAGCCCUCUUCUCCUCCCACCACAUGAGCUUAUUCCAGCUGAAGCCACAGCUGGGGUUGCUUCCCUCUGGGAAGCCGCAGCGUGCCAAACCCAUUCCUGGCAACCAUGCCUGGCAGCCACGGCCAACCGGCCACGCAGCUGGCCCCGGCUUGCAAAGCCCCAAAAAGCUGUUUUUUGUCUGGUUACACCCUGCAACAGGACAUGAGCACUGGGAUUUGGAGCCUGGAAACUCCGGCUGCAACUGCAAGGCUUUCACCCCAAAGCCUAUCAGGUUCCCAGCUCAGUGAGGAUAUUUAAACUUGCAGAGGAGGAAAUCUCUUGGCCUGUCCUCACCAUCGCUCCCUGUAGAUUUUGCCAAGUCGUUUCACAUUCGCAAGCUUUUGGAAUCAGUUUUGCUGACUCUUUUUUUCCAUUUUCUUCCCCCCUCCUUUUCAUUUUGCGGCUCUCCCUUGGUGUCAUCUGCCGCUCGCCUUUCACAAGGAGCGAGGAGGACAUCAUCAUCGAGGAAUUCGCUCGCCAGAAACUCACGGGAGAGAAAGACGACGAAGACGAGGAGGCCAACAAAGAGGAAAGCUGACCCGCUGCCCGCUCGGCCACU